rnacentral:rRNA from 1 species
UACAGAGGGGGCAAGCGUUGUUCGGAAUUACUGGGCGUAAAGGGCGCGUAGGCGGCCUGCUAAGUCGAACGUGAAAUCCCUGGGCUCAACCUAGGAACUGCAUUCGAAACUGGUCACCUAGAGUGAUGGAGAGGAAAGCGGAAUUCCCGGUGUAGAGGUGAAAUUCGUAGAUAUCGGGAGGAACACCAGUGGCGAAGGCGGCUUUCUGGACAUUUACUGACGCUGAGACGCGAAAGCGUGGGGAGCAAACAGG